UACGAAGGGGGCUAGCGUUGCUCGGAUUUACUGGGCGUAAAGCGUGCGCAGGCGGUUUUGUAAGUCUGUCGUGAAAGCCCCGGGCUCAACCUGGGAAUUGCGAUGGAGACUGCAAGGCUUGAAUCUGGCAGAGGGGGGUAGAAUUCCACGUGUAGCAGUGAAAUGCGUAGAGAUGUGGAGGAACACCGAUGGCGAAGGCAGCCCCCUGGGUCAAGAUUGACGCUCAUGCACGAAAGCGUGGGGAGCAAACAGG
rnacentral:rRNA from 1 species